rnacentral:rRNA from 1 species
UACGGAGGGUGCAAGCGUUAUCCGGAUUCACUGGGUUUAAAGGGUGCGUAGGUGGGCAGGUAAGUCAGUGGUGAAAUCUCUGGGCUCAACUCAGAAACUGCCAUUGAUACUAUUUGUCUUGAAUACCGUGGAGGUCAGCGGAAUAUGUCAUGUAAGCGGUGAAAUGCUUAGAUAUGACAUAGAACACCAAAUUGCGAAGGCAGCUCACUAACACAAAAG